UACGGAGGAUGCAAGCGUUAUCCGGAAUGAUUGGGCGUAAAGCGUCCGCAGGUGGCUGGGUAAGUCUGCUGUUAAAUAGUGAGGCUCAACCUCAUAAAGGCAGUGGAAACUACACGGCUAGAGUGCGUUCGGGGCAGAGGGAAUUCCUGGUGUAGCGGUGAAAUGCGUAGAGAUCCGGAAGAACACCGGUGGCGAAGGCGGUCUGCUGGGCAGUUGCUGACACUGAGGCGCGACAGCGUGGGGAGCAAACAGG
rnacentral:rRNA from 1 species